AUUGAACGCUGGCGGCAUGCUUUACACAUGCAAGUCGAACGGUAACAGGUUAAGCUGACGAGUGGCGAACGGGUGAGUAAUGCAUCGGAACGUGCCCGGUCGUGGGGGAUAACGCAGCGAAAGCUGCGCUAAUACCGCAUACGAUCUGAGGAUGAAAGCGGGGGACCGUAAGGCCUCGCGCGAUCGGAGCGGCCGAUGUCAGAUUAGGUAGUUGGUGGGGUAAAGGCUCACCAAGCCAACGAUCUGUAGCUGGUCGGAGAGGACGACCAGCCACACUGGGACGGGGACACGGCCCAGACUCCUACGGGAGGCAGCAGUGGGGAAUUUUGGACAAUGGGCGAAAGCCUGAUCCAGCAAUGCUGCGUGCAGGAAGAAGGCCUUCGGGUUGUAAACUGCUUUUGUACGGAGCGAAAAGGUCUCCUCUAAUACAGGGGGCUCAUGACGGUACCGUAAGAAUAAGCACCGGCUAACUACGUGCCAGCCGCCGCCGUAA
rnacentral:rRNA from 1 species